UACGAAGGGGGGCUAGCGUUGCUCGGAAUCACUGGGCGUAAAGGGUGCGUAGGCGGGUCUUUAAGUCAGGGGUGAAAUCCUGGAGCUCAACUCCAGAACUGCCUUUGAUACUGGAAGCUCGAGUCCGGGAGAGGUGAGUGGGAACUGCGAGUGUAGAGGUGAAAUUCGUAGAUAUUCGCAAGAACACCAGUGGCGAAGGCGGCUCACUGGCCCGGUACUGACGCUGAGGUGCGAAAGCGUGGGGAGCAAACAGGG
rnacentral:rRNA from 1 species